rnacentral:rRNA from 1 species
UGACAGAGGGUGCGAACGUUGCUCGGAAUUACUGGGCGUAAAGCGCAUGUAGGCGGGAUCCAAUAAGUCGGGCGUGAAAUCCCCAGGCUCAACCUGGGAACUGCGCUCGAAACUGUGGGUCUUGAGUGUUGGAGAGGAUGGCGGAAUUCCUGGUGUAGAGGUGAAAUUCGUAGAUAUCAGGGAGGAACACCGGGUGGCGAAGGCGGCCAAUCUGGA